AUUGAACGCUGGCGGCAGGCCUAACACAUGCAAGUCGAGCGGAUGAAGGGAGCUUGCUCCUGGAUUCAGCGGCGGACGGGUGAGUAAUGCCUAGGAAUCUGCCUGGUAGUGGGGGAUAACGUCCGGAAACGGGCGCUAAUACCGCAUACGUCCUGAGGGAGAAAGCGGGGGAUCUUCGGACCUCACGCUAUCAGAUGAGCCUAGGUCGCAUUAGCUAGUUGGUGGGGUAAAGGCCUACCAAGGCGACGAUCCGUAACUGGUCUGAGAGGAUGAUCAGUCACACUGGAACUGAGACACGGUCCAGACUCCUACGGGAGGCAGCAGUGGGGAAUAUUGGACAAUGGGCGAAAGCCUGAUCCAGCCAUGCCGCGUGUGUGAAGAAGGUCUUCGGAUUGUAAAGCACUUUAAGUUGGGAGGAAGGGCAGUAAGUUAAUACCUUGCUGUUUUGACGUUACCAACAGAAUAAGCACCGGCUAACUUCGUG
rnacentral:rRNA from 1 species